rnacentral:rRNA from 1 species
AUUGAACGCUGGCGGCAUGCCUUACACAUGCAAGUCGAACGGUAACAGGUCUUCGGAUGCUGACGAGUGGCGAACGGGUGAGUAAUACAUCGGAACGUGCCUAGUGGUGGGGGAUAACUACUCGAAAGAGUGGCUAAUACCGCAUGAGAUCUACGGAUGAAAGCAGGGGAUCGCAAGACCUUGUGCUACUAGAGCGGCCGAUGGCAGAUUAGGUAGUUGGUGGGAUAAAAGCUUACCAAGCCGACGAUCUGUAGCUGGUCUGAGAGGACGAUCAGCCACACUGGGACUGAGACACGGCCCAGACUCCUACGGGAGGCAGCAGUAGGGAAUUUUGGACAAUGGGGGAAACCCUGAUCCAGCCAUGCCGCGUGCGGGAAGAAGGCCUUCGGGUUGUAAACCGCUUUUGUCAGGGAAGAAACGGCUCCUUCUAAUACAGGGGGCUAAUGACGGUACCUGAAGAAUAAGCACCGGCUAACUACGUGCCAGCAGCCGCGGUAA